rnacentral:rRNA from 1 species
CCUACGGGAGGCAGCAGUGGGGAAUAUUGCACAAUGGGGGAAACCCUGAUGCAGCAACGCCGCGUGGAGGAUGACACAUUUCGGUGCGUAAACUCCUUUUAUAAGAGAAGAUAAUGACGGUAUCUUAUGAAUAAGCACCGGCUAACUCCGUGCCAGCAGCCGCGGUAAUACGGAGGGUGCAAGCGUUACUCGGAAUCACUGGGCGUAAAGAGCGUGUAGGCGGAUUUGUAAGUUGGGAGUGAAAGCCUAUGGCUCAACCAUAGAACUGCUUCCAAAACUGCAUGUCUAGAGUGUGGGAGAGGUAGAUGGAAUUUCUGGUGUAGGGGUAAAAUCCGUAGAGAUCAGAAGGAAUACCGAUUGCGAAGGCGAUCUACUGGAACAUAACUGACGCUGAGACGCGAAAGCGUGGGGAGCAAACAGGAUU